GAAGGUAAAGUUUGUGGGCCUAAACAUUCCCCCUUGGAUACCUCGGAAGGGAAAGACCGCAGGUUCGAAUCCUGCUACCUUCG
rnacentral:tRNA from 1 species